rnacentral:rRNA from 1 species
AGGUGGGACUACCCGCUGAACUUAAGCAUAUCAAUAAGCGGAGGAAAAGAAACUAACAAGGAUUCCCCCAGUAACGGCGAGUGAAGAGGGAAAAGCCCAAAUUUGUAAUCUGGCUCUUUUAGAGUCCGAGUUGUAAUUUUGAGAACUGUUUUCUGUGCUGGACCAUGUUUAAGUCUGUUGAAAAACAGCAUCAUUGAGGGUGAUAAUCCCGUUCAUGAUAUGGACUACCAGUGCUCUAUGAUACAGUCUCUAAGAGUCGAGUUGUUUGGGAAUGCAGCUCAAAGUGGGUGGUAAAUUCCAUCUAAGGCUAAAUAUAGGUGRGAGACCGAUAGCAAACAAGUACCGUGAGGGAAAGAUGAAAAGAACUUUGGAAAGAGAGUUAACAGUACGUGAAAUUGCUGAAAGGGAAACAAUUGAAGUUAGCCUUGUUAUUUCCAGUUCAACCCUUUUAGGGUGUAUUCUGGUGAUUAACGACCAACAUCAGUCUUUGAGUGCUGGAUAAGGGUUUUGGAAAUGUAGCAGUCUAGGCUGUGUUAUAGUCCAUUACUUUGAUACAAUGCUUAGGAUUGAGGAUCGCAGUAAGCCAAUCUUGGUGGAUCAAUUUAUUGGUCUUCUUACUGAGGAUGUUGGUGAAA